ACUGUCAGAUCCGAGUGUGUGCACUCAACACAUUAUACCAUGACUGAGGGGGUUUGUCUAAGCGUUAAAGGCAGUUGAUCAAUACAGGUGGGUCAGCUGAUCAACCCAGGUAAAAUUUCCAGGUAGAUCUUCUGGUGUGGAGUUCACAGGUAUCCUCAGAUGUCCCCUAUCACAGAAAGGACAGGGUAUGGUGGCACUUCAGUGUACUUAAUCAGGUUUUUGCUGAUUUGCUAAAGGUAUAAAAAAAAAAAGGCUGGUUCUCAACACUUGGAGCAAGGGACAAUACUUUGUUGUGGAUACAAUAUGUACUUUACACAAGUUACAAGGAGGACAUGUACACGACAACAAAAGUAUGAAGAAGUUCAACCUAAUAAUUAUGUCAUAAUAAUCCUGUAAUUUCCAAAUAUUUUUUUGUCAAUAAAUAUCAUGCAGGGAUCAUUCUGGGUCAUGCAAAAAAUUUCCAACCUAAAUUCUGGGCUUUAUUUUGCAUGCACAAUAAAUUGCAUUAUGAUACUUUCAAUGAGAUUUUCAACUAAAACACUGGUAAAAAAAUCACCUAGCAUUACACCAAAUUAUAGUUUAUACUUGUAGGUAAAAAGUUCUGUAUGUAUUAAUACUGAUUAAUUAUAUAUUCAGUAGUGUGAAAAAAAUAAUUGUUUAGAGAUCACAUUUAUGAACACAAAGGAGAUGACACAUUACUUGGAAUAAUGGAAAAGUGUUUUAAACAUUGGUUUUUAGUAUUUUGAAAGCACUUCUCUAUAAUAUGUGAAAUGACGCAAAUUAAAUUAUAGAAAGUAAUGACAACCUUAAUUAGGUUUUGAUGGAUUUAUUUCAUUUUUGUCCCACAACAUGGAAAUGUAGGCCUAGUCUUUAACUUUUGUUGAGAUUAAUAUAACAAUAAGCCUCGGUCAGGUUUAUAAUAGACGAUUACAUCAACAUAACAGUUUUUUCUGUCUACAGGUGACGUGCAUUAUAUAUUAUAAAUCAGUGUCUAGAAUAUAAAGUCUUCAUUAAUAUUUCCCUACAUGUUUAUAAAUUAAUGAUAUAAUCAACUACAUGAACAUACAGUAAUGCUUUAAAAAGUUUAAAAGGGCAAAAUGUUAAACUGUUUAAAAAUUAAUUUUUUUUUACAAUAAUGUACGAAACUAUGGAAGCAAAUUAUUGUUAUUAUGUAUAACAAAUACAUGAAAUUAAAGAUCUGUCUACCAGCUCCUAUCACAUUAUUUCGAUCAAUGAAUAAUAUCUCCAACAUUAGAUAUUUUUUGGGGUUGCAUGUCUAAAUAAUAUUCUUCAAGUUCAAACAGAUAAAUUUAUGGUAAGUUCUAUCUUUCUUUUUAAUACGAAAUGGAAUUUGCUGAUAACUGCUUAUUGUUUGUAUACAAAAGGCAACAAAAAUAAACCAUUUCCUACAUUUCUUAAAAAUAAAACUUUCUUUACCAGUGUUGGAAAUAAAAAAUGCUGGUGUCAUAUUUUCUAUAUUUUCAUUGUUUAAUUUAUAGCUAAAUAUAUGUGCAACGCAGCUACGCUAGUUAACUCAGUAUUACAAACAUAUUUUCUAUGUUUUCAUUUUUGACUUAAUUGCCAUAUAUAUAAAUAUGUGCAACGCAGUUACGCUUGUCAGUAUUAAAUGUAACAUGUACAGUACAGUGUUGUGUGCAAUUGAUGGUAUCAGCCUAUAUCAAUUGAAAAAAUAAAACAACACGUCAUUGUUUUUUAUUCGAAAUGUAUGUACCUAUAGACGCAUUGAAGAACGGGGUUAUUGUGCAAAUCUACCUAUAACUCGGUCCUAUUUACCUCUCUGCCAGGUAGUUAGCCCAGGUCAGGUCAAGGUGCCUGAACAUGUUCAAAGACGAAUUUUCAAACAAAAAGUACAAUGCACGUCCCUUAUAUAGCAUUGUUUUCAAAGCAUACGCACAUAUAUUUAUAAAUAUAUAAUUGGAAUAAAGUUUAUAUUAUACUGCUGACUGUUGUAUAAGACAUAUAAAUGCACAAAACGGUUCGAUACGAGCACAAUAACAUCGUCACCAAUGUAAGCAUGCUUGCUCACGAGCAUUUGUUUACAUUGACAUCGUGCCGCUGGACAUAUUCGUCCCCUAAUCUAUGUGGUAUAACAGUGAUUUCUGUAUAUGUAUGCACACCGAAAACUCGAAUAUAUGUGUAAUUAUCUAUCUACGUUCAUUAAAUACAUAUUUACCUUGUA